rnacentral:rRNA from 1 species
CCUACGGGAGGCAGCAGUGAGGAAUAUUGGUCAAUGGACGAGAGUCUGAACCAGCCAAGUAGCGUGAAGGAUGACUGCCCUAUGGGUUGUAAACUUCUUUUAUAUGGGAAUAAAAUGUUCCACGUGUGGGAUUUUGUAUGUACCAUAUGAAUAAGGAUCGGCUAACUCCGUGCCAGCAGCCGCGGUAAUACGGAGGAUCCGAGCGUUAUCCGGAUUUAUUGGGUUUAAAGGGAGCGUAGGUGGAUUGUUAAGUCAGUUGUGAAAGUUUGCGGCUCAACCGUAAAAUUGCAGUUGAAACUGGCAGUCUUGAGUACAGUAGAGGUGGGCGGAAUUCGGGGUGUAGCGGUGAAAUGCUUAGAUAUCACGAAGAACUCCGAUUGCGAAGGCAGUUCACUGGACUGCAACUGACACUGAGGCUCGAAAGUGUGGGUAUCAAACAGGAUUAGAUACCCCUGUAGU